rnacentral:rRNA from 1 species
GACGUAGGGGGCGAGCGUUGUCCGGAUUCAUUGGGCGUAAGCGCGCGUAGGCGGCCCGGUAAGUCGGAUGUGAAAUCUCACGGCUCAACCGUGGAACUGCAUUCGAUACUGUCGGGCUAGAGGCAGGUAGGGGAGAUCGGAAUUCCCGGUGUAGCGGUGAAAUGCGCAGAUAUCGGGAGGAACACCGGUGGCGAAGGCGGAUCUCUGGGCCUGUCCUGACGCUCAGGCGCGAAAGCUAGGGGAGCGAACAGG